rnacentral:misc_RNA from 1 species
GAUGAAGAUGAAGAUGAGCUGGAAAUUAAUUUGGAUAAAUAUCUUAUAGAUGAUGAAUUUCUUAUGUAGAUCUUAUAGAAAAAGGAAGAAUGAAGAGCUGCAAGCAACAAGCAAAGUUCAAGGAGAGAAACUUUUGUAGAAGAAGACGACUCAUAGAAGAACUGCAAGUAGAGAAACUUCUAGAAGAAGAAAAAGAUGACGAUCAAGGAGAGUAACUCAUAAAAGA